rnacentral:rRNA from 1 species
AUUGAACGCUGGCGGCAGGCCUAACACAUGCAAGUCGAGCGAGCGGCGGACGGGUGAGAAAUGUAUGGGGACUGCCCGAUAGAGGGGGAUAACUACAGGAAACGGUGGCGCAUAUCGCGCACUGUCUGAUAACGCCUAUGGGAUUAGCUAGUAGGUAUGGUAUUGGCUUACCUAGGCGACGAUCCCUAGCUGGUCUGAGAGGAUGAUCAGCCACACUGGGACUGAGACACGGCCCAGACUCCUACGGAGGCAGCAGUGGGGAAUAUUGCACAAUGGGCGCAAGCCUGAUGCAGCCAUGCCGCGUGUAUGAAGAAGGCCCUAGGGUUGUAAAGUACUUUCAGUCGGGAGGCGUUACCGACAGAAGAAGCACCGGCUAACUCCGUGCCAGCAGCCGCGGUAAUUC